GGGGAGAAAAGAUGAACUUGACUUUGAAUUUACUAAGCUUUAGAUAAGGAAGUAAACCUAGAUGAAAUUGCCCAUCAGGCAGAGGAAAGGUAAGGUUGAAGUUAGAAAAGUAGAUUUAGUUGUCAUCUCUGUAGAAGGGAUUCUUACCAGACAGAGAUUUUCUAAAGAAGGGACUGAGGCCUGAGGGAAUGGCUUUACUUAGGAACUACAAGAAGAAAAAAAAAAAAAAUGAAGAAAUGGUCAUUGACUUAUUUGAAGCUUAGGAUAAUCCUCAAACAAUGAGAUUUCACUGUAUUUUGUUUUUCUUUUUAUUUAUUUAUUUAUCUGAAGCAGAGUCUUGCUCUGUCACCCAGGAGAAUCACUUAAGGCCAGGAGUGCAGCCUGGGCAACAUAGCAGGAUCCUAUCCCUUAA
rnacentral:sRNA from 1 species